rnacentral:misc_RNA from 1 species
GACCAUUCAAGCUCAGCUUGGUGUUGGGUGCUUGUCCUCCCCCGCGGUGGACUCACCUCAAAUGCAUUGGCGGCCGGCAUGUUGGCUUCGAGCGCAGUAGAAACGCGCCUGUCCUGACGUGCCCGUCCUCCACAAGGCCUUUUUAA